rnacentral:tRNA from 1 species
AGCAGUGUGGCUUAGUGGAAAGAGCCCAGGCUUGGGAGUCUAAGGUCUUGGGUUUUGAUCCCAGCUCUGCUA